rnacentral:rRNA from 1 species
CGUUCUCAGUUCGGAUCGGAGUCUGCAACCCGACUCCGUGAAGCUGGAUUCGCUAGUAAUCGCGCAUCAGCCAUGGCGCGGUGAAUACGUUCCCGGGCCUUGUACACACCGCCCGUCAAGCCAUGGGAGCCGGGAGUGCCUGAAGUCCGUGACCGCGAGGAGCGGCCUAGGGUAAGACCGGUGACUGGGGCUAAGUCGUAACAAGGUACC